rnacentral:lncRNA from 1 species
GUUUCAUGUUUCUUUUCCCUGACAACAUAUAGAGAAAGGAUUAUUGCUCUCUUACUGAAAAUGAUUGAAAAAUUAGAACUGAAUGCAAAUUACUUAUGUUGGAAUCAGAUGUAGACCUGGCAUGGGGCCACCUCAUUCAUCAUUAUCACGUCCUUUUCUUCAUAAAUCAAACUUCAAUUGUUACGAAAUGACCUUUCCAAUGAGAAUGAAAUGCAGGUUGAGAUCCUUGGGACAAGGAUGCUGUUUGUUUUUCUUCUGUGUGAAGCCAGUCCUGGCUCACUACUGGAGCUCUGAAACUGCCAUAAAUACAAAGACUUAGGAAACUCUAAUCUUGAAACAGUGUCUGGCUGAGGUUCUAACUUAUGCACUCAUUUCUCCUGCUGUUGAGGUUUACUUGGACUACAAACAUGAAAUGAAACCAGCUAAGCACGUAGAAAAAAUCAAAGAGUUUGCAUAGUGUAGAUGAAGCUCUGUAGCAUGGAUGUCUCAUUCUCUGCAGGAAGAAAACCUUCAUCUAUGCCUUUCCAAAGAACCAAAGAAGGCAAAAGCAGAGAUGUAGGCUGUGGAAUGAAGUGGAGCUGCAGAAAAGACUUCUCAGAUAAAAAUGUGUAUCUGUUCUGUAUGAAUCUACUCAGAUUACCUGUGUGUGCAAGUGCAUUAAAAGCAAUUGAUUCAUCCAGAAUAGUUGUGAACUGUCUGUGUAACUCAAGCAAAUUAAACUGGAUGCGUUGGAUUAUUUUAUACACAAUGUACAAUUGAUUUAAUCAUUCACAGAGGCCGUUUUGUUGGGAUUUCUGGAUAUCUUGCAGCCUGGUUGGAGAGACUAUUGUCUGCCAGCAACAGCACAGCACCUUCUGAUGUCCUUGUCAAAGCUCUUAAAUUCACCAAAAAUAAGAUUUCCAAGUGGAUAGUUAUAAUUGCUAAAAUCAAGAUGUUCGGAGGCCUUAGAGCAAUGAAUGUAUUGAAGGAAAAUUGAAGAAAUUGAGGCCAAAAACUCUUUCAUGUCUUACUAGUAACAGAGGCAUUUGGAAGAUACUUCAUCUCUCCGUCGAACUCAACCAGGGUCAUGGCAUUUUCUUUUUCAUUUUUUAAUGAAAUUAAAAUUUGGCUUUGCCAUUAAAAAUACAGUUCUUUGGAUUGCCCUUGCAUCUGUUACU